AGUAAAGUCAGCUAAACAAGCUUUCGGGCCCAUACCCCGAACAUGAUGGUUAAAAACCCUCCUCUACUA
rnacentral:tRNA from 1 species